rnacentral:rRNA from 1 species
GAUGAACGCUGGCGGCGUGCCUAAUACAUGCAAGUCGAGCGAACGGACGAGAAGCUUGCCUCUCUGAUGUUAGCGGCGGACGGGUGAGUAACACGUGGAUAACCUACCUAUAAGACUGGGAUAACUUCGGGAAACCGGAGCUAAUACCGGAUAAUAUUUUGAACCGCAUGGUUCAAAAGUGAAAGACGGUCUUGCUGUCACUUAUAGAUGGAUCCGCGCUGCAUUAGCUAGUUGGUAAGGUAACGGCUUACCAAGGCAACGAUGCAUAGCCGACCUGAGAGGGUGAUCGGCCACACUGGAACUGAGACACGGUCCAGACUCCUACGGGAGGCAGCAGUAGGGAAUCUUCCGCAAUGGGCGAAAGCCUGACGGAGCAACGCCGCGUGAGUGAUGAAGGUCUUCGGAUCGUAAAACUCUGUUAUUAGGGAAGAACAUAUGUGUAAGUAACUGUGCACAUCUUGACGGUACCUAAUCGGAAAGCCACGGCUAACUACGUG